UUUGUUGUCGUUCUCUUUUGAAUGCAUUGCUUGUGUCCUGAGGAUUCCUUCGCUGCACUUCCGUUUGGCAAAUUCCUGCGGCCAAACUUCUAUGUUACUUUUUGUGACUGCAGCCCUCAACUUUAUGGAAGCUGUCAAAACGUCCAUCUUGGAGACUCAAGAAGGAUGUUUUUCCCCCGUCUGAACUUUCACGGAGUAGAAACUUUACGGACGGCAAGAAGAUGGAACGGCAUGUCUACCGCCGGUUGAAAGCACAAAAGGGAAGGACACUGCUGCACCCACACCUCGUUCCUCCGGGUCGCCUCGUCGACAUAAUCUGCCAUCCCUUCCCCUCAGUCCGCACACCUCCUGUACCUGCAACACUGAUAACUCCUGUUUCCUUACAAUGGGACGACUUGCAUGAAAAUACGCAUUUUGGCGUCAAAAAGUCGGCGCUUCCUACAACUGGGACUUUCUGAAGAUCCGGUCCAGAUGGUAGGACUUCUUCCAAAAGGGACCGCGUACUGAUGGCUAAUUAUCCUCACAGGACCCUGAGAAAACCCUUAAAAAUAGACACACUCAUCGUGAUUGGACGCAAUUGAUUGGCUCUCGGAGGUGUAAGCUGAUUGUCAGCCGGUACACAUGAUGACUCGUGUCUGCUUGUUAAUUACACUUGCAGGCAGAGGUCCUCGCGAGAGACGAUGUCAGGGAAAAUGUCCUCGGCUUUAAGACGAGCUAUCGAGCGCUGGAGUUGAUUGACGUCGGCGGCCCUUAGCGCACCCGUCUGUCGUCUUUACCGGUGCUUCCCGUCCUGAUAGUUUGCUGCUUUGCUGGGAAUUAAAGUUUGUCUUGAGAACUUCUUGACAAAUUUGAGCUGUCAUCCGUGGCAGAA